AUUGAACGCUGGCGGCAUGCCUUACACAUGCAAGUCGAACGGUAACAGGUCUUCGGAUGCUGACGAGUGGCGAACGGGUGAGUAAUACAUCGGAACGUGCCCGAGAGUGGGGGAUAACGGAGCGAAAGCUUUGCUAAUACCGCAUACGAUCUACGGAUGAAAGCAGGGGACCGCAAGGCCUUGCGCUCAUGGAGCGGCCGAUGGCAGAUUAGGUAGUUGGUGGGAUAAAAGCUUACCAAGCCGACGAUCUGUAGCUGGUCUGAGAGGACGACCAGCCACACUGGGACUGAGACACGGCCCAGACUCCUACGGGAGGCAGCAGUGGGGAAUUUUGGACAAUGGGCGCAAGCCUGAUCCAGCCAUGCCGCGUGCAGGAUGAAGGCCUUCGGGUUGUAAACUGCUUUUGUACGGAACGAAAAGACUCCUUCUAAUAAAGGGGGUCCAUGACGGUACCGUAAGAAUAAGCACCGGCUAACUACGUGCCAGCAGCCGCGGUAAUACGUAGGGUGCAAGCGUUAAUCGGAAUUACUGGGCGUAAAGCGUGCGCAGGCGGUUAUAU
rnacentral:rRNA from 1 species